UACGUAGGGCGCAAGCGUUGUCCGGAAUUAUUGGGCGUAAAGAGCGCGCAGGCGGUCGUUCAAGUCGAGUGUGAAAGCCCCCGGCUCAACUGGGGAGGGUCAUUCGAUACUGAUCGACUCGAAGGCAGGAGAGGGAAGCGGAAUUCCCGGUGUAGUGGUGAAAUGCGUAGAUAUCGGUAGGAACACCAGUGGCGAAGGCGGUCUCCUGGGGCAUUCUUGACGCUGAGGCGCGAAAGCUGGGGGAGCGAACGGG
rnacentral:rRNA from 1 species